AGGAAUUUCCCACCCUGCAGGCGGCUGGAGACCAGGACAGAGUUGGCAAAGAACAGGCCACUGCAGAUCAGUGGUAUGGGCCAGGACCAAGCCUCCGCCCCCAAAACGUAACAAGCUGGCGGGAUGGUGGGGGCCGGGCAUUGGCACCCACCCUGGCUGGGGAGGCAGUUGCGGAGGGCGGUGCUGGGGGAGCCAUGGUGAUGGAGGGUGCUGCUGGGGCCCCUCCCAUCCCACAGCAGAAUGCAUCUUCUCAUGGGCCGCCUAGAACUUCCCCAACCGGCAACCCCGCACUUCCCCUCCCCCAGCCACCUAUUGGCCCGCAGUUCCAGGCUUACAGAGGCAUCAUGCCUCCCUUCAUGUAUCCACCAUACCUGCCCUUCCCACCCCCUUAUGGUCCACAGGGACC